UCGGCUCCGCGGUGCCAGCCCGCUGUGACGCAGGCCGCCGGGCCCGGGAACUUCCUCCCGCGGAGACCACCCCGCGCCCGGGCCGGCCGCCCAGGACAGCCGCCGGCCGCCGAGGACUUCCUUCAGGGCGCCCAAGAAGAUCUCCCGCCGCUUGCCGGGGGAGCCCCUCCGGCCUCUGGAACGCCCACCUGGCGGCCAGUGCCUGAGGAAUGGACCGGGGCCACUACCUUCCCCAUCCCGAACCCGAGGCUUCCCUGCGCUGGCGGCCGCGCCACGGUCGCAGCUCCACCCCGGGGAUGAAAAGCGAACUCUGCCUUAUUGAAAGCCGAGUCACCUGAAUAGAAAAUCUCCCCAAUGGAAAAAUGUACAGACAAGAUUGCUAAGUAAUAUAAGAUCUUCUGGAAUGCCUUACCAAUAUGAGUUUUUCUAAGAGCACCAACAAUUAUACGAUUGCUUUGUGUUGGCAUUCAGGAAAAGAGGGGCGUAUGCCAGCAGAGCAAUUCAUAGACAGCUAGUCUUUUGCUAGUUGGUUUGUUCUUACACACCAAACCUUAAGAAAGCAGGCCUCUCUCCUUUUACCCCAUUUUUAUCUCCAAGUCAAAAUUAAAAUUUGUCAAAAAGUUGA